rnacentral:tRNA from 1 species
AGAGAGAUGGCUGAGUUGGUUAAAAGCGAUAGAUUGCUACUCUAUUUUAUUAUUUUUAUAAUAUCAAGGGUUCAAAUCCCUUUCUCUCUU